rnacentral:tRNA from 1 species
GUUUUUGUAGUUGAAUAACAACAAGGGUUUUUCAGGCCUUAGGUUCUGGUUAGUGUCCAGAUAAAAAUA